ensembl:lncRNA
AUGGGAGCACAGGUGAAGGCAAUUCAGCUGUGUGAUCGGAAGGGGUGGAACCUGGCUGCACUACUCCUCGACCCCAUUUAUGGGCUGACUGCCACUGGGGAAGGAUCUCUUUCUGGAGAUUCCUCCUCUGUGGGGCUUUUCAUUGCAAGCCUAAAUCUUUGGAUAUGGCUGAGUAUUCCUUCUCUGUUUGUUCCUUUGCUAAUCUCGCUACAGUACUCUUUCCAACUGUAUUUUGUUGACUGUAUGCCUCCCCAGAGUGUUUUUCUUAGGGAGACAACAGUUUGGCUUGAAGAGCAGCACCAGAUCCUCUUCUGUAAAAGGUUCUCAAAACAAAAGAUGAAUGCAGCCAAUGUGAUGGAGGUGGAUGAGGAGAGUUCCUUGAGCUGUCUGUCUCCAGAAAAGUCACCCACCUGGUCCCAUGUCCCAACUCUGCCCCUCUCUUGGGGCUGGGGACACUGCGGCCACCCAAGCUACCCAUGCAGACAUCUCCUGCCCUCUUCAUCUCCUGCCCUGCCAUGUAGAAGAUGCCUUGUUUGAGUCCUAAAUAUGUUUCAUUUAAGCCCCAAUGAUGGUUUACUAAGUGCUGUAAUGUUUGUUAGGUCUCUCUUUACAUUGCUGUAAUUACCGUAAUAAGCGGUCUUAACCGGCUCUUUUAUAAGUUACAGCAGCAUAAAAACAUCUCAGUGUGCUUUCCUUUAAUGAGCUACAACUUCAGCAUAAUCUUCCUGACUCCAUUUUCACUGGAGUAUCCGUUACAUUGCAGUUUUAUGGGAUGCAGUGGUGGAGAUGCAGGCAACAUUUUUGAGAGGCCUUGCAGAACGUGGUGGCUCUGUCCAUGGGUUCCAUGACCAGCCAAGCCCCUGGAGGGACAUCACUGCCCUGGGAAGCACACUGCCAGCUGCUGCAGUAUUGCAGGGAAUGUAACACAAGCACGUGCGCCUUCUGUCCAUGUAAGGACAUCAUGGGAUGAGUGUUGACAAUAGGGAUUGACACCCAAAUGCUAGGGCAGAGGUUCAGUGCCGGGGCCAGUAACUGAUACAAGUAGCAGCAGAUGAGACCCAGGCAUGGGGAUUUGAGGGACAGCUGUGCUGGGCUCCCUCCAUCCCUGGCACCAAUCCACCAUUCCCUCCCAGCACCAGAACAUCCUGAGGAGCAUCUCUGUCCCGGCAGCCCCACCAUGUGGGCACGGAGCCCCCUCCAAAAAAGCCUCAAUCAAUUACACCACUGUAACACCGCACCGACUAACGCACGGUUUGACUGCUGACAGCAGAUGGACGAACACUUGUCGGUGAUUUGGUGCUGAGCGAGAGGCAGAUUUAUUUCCAGAGCCUGCUACUCUUGUUUCUCCCAAUGAAGCUGCAAGGCAGAGCAUACAUCUGUGGGUUUUUUCCUUCCAAACAUGGCUAUGCUGCAGGGAGAUCCAUCACUGAAAACUAUGGGGUUUGGGGCCUGUUUUUGUGGGAAGAAGGAAGGCAGAAGCUGCUGCUCUGCACAGCGCUGGAAACUGCUCGACUGCACGAGUGUGGGCUGAGUUACCAAAUCUCAGCCAUAGUCUGAGCCAGGCUGGAAGCUGGCAAAGAGCUGCAGAGCUGCAAAGCAGGGUGAAAAGCACUGAAUAAUCACAUUUAAGUGAUAUUAAUGUGCACCCUAUACAUAAUAACAUCCAUAAAUUGCCGCUUCAGAGCUGGGCAGGGGAGAUCUUAGCCCCAUCUGCACCCCAGCUAUUUGGAGACAUGGAGAAAAACCCCUCAGGGUCAGCUGUGCUGCUCUCCUGACUUAAAAACCAGCAAGUAAAGCAAGUCUGCAGAAGUAGUGGUGCUUUCCCUGCUCAUUUUUUAUAAGAUCCAGCUUAGGAUAAUAAAAACUUGGAGAAGGUGGAAUAUUUUGAGAUG